GAGUAAAGAAGAGAGAGAAAGAAGAAGAAAGGAAAAGAGGAAGAAGAAGAAGAAAGAAGAAGGAAAAUUGAUCGUAAAGCUUCACCGGAGCUAGGUCUUAGUAUUUUGAGCCCGGAUUUAUGAUCAGUUCAUCGAAGUCUUCGAUUUGAGGUAGGUAUUGCACAAAUUCUAAGGAUUCUUAGGAAAAUCCCAUUUUUAAACCCUCUUUUUGGUUUUUGGGAAAGAACCCCCAUGGAUCUUGCUAAUCCUACCUGAAUAAUUAAACCUAAGGUCUAAUGGAAGGUCUGUAUAAAGAUUUUAGAAGAUUUGGAAGGAGUGUUGAUGAAGAUCUAUAUUAUUUUGAGGCUCUUGAACAAAAGAAGUAAAAUUUGGGGUUCUAUUAGUGUUCUUGAGAAAGAGGUUACACUAAAUAUACGCGUACCCACACAUCGGAUCUUUUUUGUAUUGGGUACAAGCACCAUGUAUAUAUACAGGUGAUUUUACAGGUUACCCGCCUGGUGAUCAGGAGCUGGGGCCCACCUUGGAGUUUCCAUCUGAGGACUGGUGGGUCCCUGACGAGUUUGAGCACGGUGCCGAUUGCACGUGCGAGGAUUGUGCUGCGUAGCAAUUGUGACUUCUGAGUGAUUCUUUUGAUUCUUUUUUAUGUAUUCCCUUUUUGUUACUUGACGCUUAAAUUGUUAUAUGUUUGUAUAUAUAUCGUGCCUUCGGCCCCAAAUGUAUGUAACCUUUAUAACUAAAUUUGGGUAUCAAGUACUUGGGAAACAAUUA